CAGAUACUCCCUCCGUCCCAAAAUUCCUGUCUUAGAUUUGUCUAGAUACGGAUGUAUCAAGUCAUGUUUUAGUAUUAGAUACAUUCAUAUCUAGACAAAUCUAAGACAAGAAUUUCGGGACGGAGGGAGUACUUG
rnacentral:pre_miRNA from 1 species